rfam:Triticum aestivum genome assembly, contig: Triticum_aestivum_CS42_TGACv1_scaffold_223924_3B
UUAGUACUCCCUCCGUUUCAAAUUACUCGUCACUGAAAUGGAUGUAUCUAGAACUAAAAUACAUCUAGAUACAUCCAUACGUGCGACAAGUAAUUCGAAACGGAGGAAGUAGCAG